rnacentral:lncRNA from 1 species
AUGGGUUUCACCCGUGUUGACCAGGCUGGUCUCAAACUCCUGACCUCAGGUGAUCCACCUGCCUCGGCCUCCCAAAGUGCUGGGAUUACAGGCGUGAGCCACCACACCCUGCCCCUACCAUGGCCACUUUCCAACAGCAUAGCACAGACUGGGUUACGAGGCAGAGAUCCUUGCACUGCAGCCUGGGCCGCUUGCAGAGCCCUUUCCUGCUCUGGGUCCAACUCAAAGUUGGCCGUUGCCAUGUCACUUGGUAAAUGGAUUAGAAAGAACACAUUUCCAAGUGGAAAAUAUGUUACCUCUGGAACCCAAAGGGCCUUACCAGACCUUCUGCUUCCUCUUCCGUGGUGGGAGCUGCAAGAUGCCAUAAGUCGUUUUUUACUUUAGAGGGGGUUGACCCAGCAUGCCCUGGCCUCUGGACUCUUGGAAACAUCACUGACGUGGUAGGUCCCUGAACCUUCGUAUAGUUUCUCUCUUACUCUGUGAAGUAUGUGUCUUUCUAAGGUCUCCAACAUACUUGCCACUUCUUGUUUAUCUGGCCUAAUUAACAUGCUACAGCUAUUUUUUUUUUUUUACUUUUUUAGACAGAGUCUCACUCUGUCACCCAGGCUAGAGUGCAAUGGUGCGAUUUCGGCUCACUGCAACCUUCGCCUCCUGGGUUCAAGCGAUUCUCCUGACUUAGCCUUCCAAGUAUGCUGUACCUUUUCAACAUCGUGGGCUAUUAUGGUAUUUUGCACGAUGUCUAGAUGGUCCACAUCUUUUCAGAGUGCAUUAUGACAGAGGUUGGGAGAAUUACCAUAGCCCUGGAGAAAGAUGGUUAUCCAUCCUACGUGAAUAUAACUCUUUUUGGUCCUCUUUCCUGAUAGUGAUAGAAAUGAAUGCAUUUGCCAACCCAGUGGCCCCAUGCCCAGUGCCUGUCGUGGUGCUAAUUUGCUCUAGCCAAAAGGCCAUAUCCAAUAUGGCAGCUGCAACUGGAGCUACAUGUUUAAGUUUGUGGUAGUCCCCUAGCAUUGUCUUUAGCAGGUCUGCCACUCAUCUGGCUGGGUCAUGUUGUGAUUAACCCUAGUUAUUGGUCUGGCAGCCAGGAAGAAGAUGAGGGUAGAUUCUGAAUGAGGUAGAUCCUGUCUUUCAAAGUAGAGACCUCUGCAUCAUCUUCAGAUAAGACGGAAAUGCCAGCUUUGAACAGGGAGUGGUAAGCCAUGUCUGCACACUCAUAGGGUUCAGGGAAAUUCAGGAAUUUAAGAGGUUUCAGCGCCUCCAUCCAAAUGUUCCCACAUCCAUCUUCUGAGUUCCGCUCCAUCCAAGCAGGACCAUGACUCUGGCAUAGCCAACUUGUUGGGGUUGAGAAUUCAACCUCUGAAGCUCAUUUUUUC